GUCUUCAGUGGCAAAACAGUGGAGUUGAUGAUUGUUCUUUCAAAUAUUCUUGACUACGUAUUCUCUUGUGAUCUGAAAGUUUGUUUUACUUGCAAAUACGUAUAGUCAAGAAUAUUUGAAAGAACAAUCAUCAACUCCACAGUUUUGCCACAGAUGACAA